UGCAGGAGUGGACCGCACUCCACCCGCCUCAGGGAUCAACGCUCUGAUAGACUCAGGAGAAAGAGAAGAAUUAAAGAACACAAGGAUCAAGUCGCCAUGAUGUUCCGGAUUCACAAACCUCCACUGGAAGAGGAACAAGAACAACUGACCCUGGAAGCCCUGACCGAUUUUAUUUAUUUUCUGUACCUUUGUCAGCCGCUUAUUUGUCAUCGUUGCCUCAGGCUCCUUCAGGAGCUUAAAGUACUAGAGCUAAUACUUGUCCAGCAAAUGGAGGUGCGGCAAAGGUCUUCAGAGAACGGGGCAACUGGUAGUGGAGCAGCUGACUCCCAGGAGAAGAACUAUGGGCCAGAAGGCCAACAGGACUGAGAAGACAGGAGCUCCUUCAUGAGGCAGGGCAAUCACACUCCCCCUGUCUCCUGUCUUGGGCUUCCUCACAGAGGACUGCCGAAGGUCCUGGCCUGGACAUUGACCCUGAUGUGAUGGAAAACUAAAUAAAAAUACCUGGUGAAGGUU